UAACAGGCAUAUAAAAGUAUUAGGGCUCA
rnacentral:piRNA from 1 species